rfam:Aquimarina spongiae strain DSM 22623 genome assembly, contig: Ga0070582_121
UAAGGUGGUUAUAGCAACGGGGCUCACCUCUUACCAUUCCGAACAGAGUAGUUAAGCCCGUUAGCGCCAAUGGUACUACAAUCGUGGGAGAGUAGGUCGCCGCCUUCU